rnacentral:rRNA from 1 species
GUGCCAGCCGCCGCGGUAAUACCGGCAGCACAAGUGAUGGCCGAUAUUAUUGGGCCUAAAGCGUUCGUAGCUGGCCGGACAAGUCCGUUGGGAAAUCCACGCGCUCAACGUGUGGGCGUCCGACGGAAACUGCAUAGCUUGGGACCGGAAGGCUCGAAGGGUACGUGCGGGGUAGGAGUGAAAUCCCAUAAUCCCGCACGGACCACCGAUGGCGAAAGCACUUCGAGAAAACGGAUCCGACAGUGAGGGACGAAAGCCAGGGUCUCCAACCGGAUUAGAUACCCGGUAGUCC